GGCUUCUCACCCGGGUAUUUAAAACCCCUGGGCAGAUCGAUCCAUUUAAAUAUUUAAUUAUAAUCUACAUACCUGAAGCAGAAGAGGAAGCUGUGGGCUCCCAGUGGGGCAGGUCCUUUAACCCGUGAACUUUGAUCCUGGGCCCAAAGGUCAGCCAUCAGCCCCUCAUCCAGCAGCCUGCCCAGUGCUUAAUUACCCAAUUAAUGCGUGGUUUUAUAGUCGGGUGGUUUAAGGGACUGUGUGAGAAGAGCGUGGGCCGCCAGGGCUGCAGCCUUCCGUCAUGGCCCUGUGGUUCUAAUGCACGAAUUAAAUAUCUGUCUCUUCUAAAAGUCAGUGCGUGAUUUAUUGGAAAAUUGGUGGAAACAGCCCUUGGGGGGUUGUGCUCAAAAUCUGGUUUAAAAGAGCGGCUGCUGGCUACGACUUUUUGAUUUCCUCUAUCCUAUUGAAUGUCAUUAGCCCUCUUUCAUGUAAAAUAAAUGUUUGAAUCCAGCUCAUAGAGGGCUUAUUUAUUCAUUUCGUUCCCUUCACUGCACACUAUCAUUACUUCUCUGUUGAUUCUCUUCUCUGGCAGAAUAGGAGCUAAACCCUUCCCUUCGAGGCGCGUAUCUGGGAUUCAGACGGUGCGAGGCCCCCUGUGCUUGCUCUCCCUCCGCUUCUCCCCACCCCCACCCGGAAGCCGGAGGUCGCGAAUUCAGUCCUGGUAAAUCAUGUGUAACUCCGGGACAGGAAGCACUCGGGUGUUAUUUUAUUUGUGAUUUGCUGUUAUUUAUUUAUUGAAGUGGCCUUUCCCCCAAAGGAGCACAGUAUGCAGAAAAACGGAAAGGAGGGACCUGCUCCAUCUUGUAAGCUGACAUGAAGAAAGCCACUGUCAUCAUUUUCAAUGUUCUGCUGCCGACAAAGCGGUUCUGGAAUCCGCAGUGAGUGGCCACUCGAGAGCCAGGACCGAGCCUCGCCGCUAGGGGGAGUUCAGCUCGUAGGACCGGAAGUGCAAUUUAAUUUCUCAAACCUGGAAACCACAGGUGAGUGUGCUGUCUCAGGCUGGGAGGAGGAGGAGAGGACCAGCCUGACUCUGGCUGAAGAAGGGGCGGCCUGGGACGAAGGUGGAUGGGGCAGUCAGAGGGCACUGAAGAGCACA
rnacentral:lncRNA from 1 species